rnacentral:piRNA from 1 species
UCCUCAGAAUAGAUUGAGGCCACUCAGCUC